rnacentral:rRNA from 1 species
AUAAGCCCAGCACUGAACCUCGUGUCUCCGGAUACCGAGGAAUGUAGUGUUCAGGAGAGAGGUGGUUUGCCUGUCCGGUGAUUGUCCAAGUCCCCAUGAUCGGGGCUAGAGUCCGCAGAGGGUGUCAGGCCCGUAGUGACGCACCGCGACCGUGAACGCUUGAUCUCCUAAGAGUCGGGUUGCUUGAGAGUGCAGCCCUAAGCGGGAGGUAAACUCCUUCUAAGGCUAAAUACCGCCACGAGACCGAUAGCAAACAAGUACCGCGAGGGAAAGUUGAAAAGAACUUUGAAGAGAGAGUUCAAGAGUGCGUGAAACCGUUCAGGGGGUUAAACGGGUGGGCCCUCGAAGGUCGAACGGCAUCUACUCCCGUUACCUGCAUACGAGCCUGCGCUGGGACGAGUCGCAUUCUGCGGCCGCCGAGUGUAGUACGCUUGGGGCGUGCAGGGACCGCUAGUUGGAUGCCUAGUAGGACUCCGCAACCGGCUGGGGUGAUACGGUCGUCAGACGGGUCUUGAGGAGCGGCCUCCUUGUGGGGCUGUCUUUUUGAGAUUCCCGGCGACCACUCGGCCGUUGAGUGCUGCCUCGCUGUUCCUCAUGGAUGGACGAGCGUUUUGACCUUUGCGGGGAGAAGCGUUGUCGGUUCGUUCGAGGCUCCGGUGAGAAGCGCGGAGAGUAGGUCGGGUCCCACCCGACCCGUCUUGAAACACGGACCAAGGAGUCUAACAUGUGCGCGAGUCGUCGAGUUGUACCAAACUCGAAGGCGCAAUGAAAGUAAAGGCUAGGCUUGCCCUAGCUGAGGGGAGAUCCCGUUUCUGCUUCGGUAGCGCGGGCGCAUCCCCGGGGCGUCUAGACUGCGUUGCCAGUCGGACGCACCUAGAGCGUACACGUUGGGACCCGAAAGAUGGUGACCUAUGCCUGGCCAGGACGAAG